rnacentral:lncRNA from 1 species
CUUUUGAGUAGUUACCUAACCCCACUUCCAUAGUGGCCAGAUCACUAUCUCUUUGUAGAGCUUUCUGCAACAAAAGUUGCAGGUUCAACAAAAAUGAGGAAUCUUAUUAAUUAUACACAGUGAUAUAUUGCUGUUUUUUUUCAUGAAAACAACUGAGUCAAUUAUCUGCUUUUUUUUUUUACUAAAUAAGGUGAUAUUUCACUUGUGCACAUUUUAAUGUUGAUGAAUCUUGCAUAUAUUUCAAAAUCCUCUUUUUACUACACAUUGAGCCCAUAGUCAGCUUAAGUUUCAUUUAUUCAAUCCUGCAUAAGUUCAAAAAAAAUGUCUGCUAAUAAACAAUUGAGCCACUUCGGUUACCAUUCUGUACAUGAAUAUAUCUCAUUUUCAUUUUCAUAUUCAUUGCUGAUUCCAGGUAUCAAAAUUUUAAUCCUCCAGUAAAUCUUCUUUGCCAUCUGACAGUACUGAAAUGAAAAAAUAAAUUUGUUAUUAAAUUAAGUGUGUUGAUUCAAUUGAAAAGUAAUGAUAAAUGAUAAAUGAUAAUUUUAAUAUAUUAUAUUUCAUUGUUAUGGGCAUCAUUGACCCAAAUACACAUGUAUGGUCUGCUUAAGUCAUUCUCUUACAUGUAUCUGAAAAAUGUUCAAGUUUAUUUAAACACUUCUGAUAUUCUCAUGGAUAUGAUGCACAUCAUGUAAGAGUUAAUUCCCUUAUAUUGUUUUAAAUCUUUAUUAAUGAAUUUUAAAGUACUGAACCCUUCAUUCUUGAAAUUAGGUUUUAAAUCCAAAUGAAACUAUCUUGAAAUUAUACAGUAUAGAUAAUAUAUG